AGUAACGCGUGGAUAAUCUGCCUCACACUGGGGGAUAACAGUUAGAAAUGACUGCUAAUACCGCAUAAGCGCACAGUACCGCAUGGUACAGUGUGAAAAACUCCGGUGGUGUGAGAUGGAUCCGCGUCUGAUUAGCCAGUUGGCGGGGUAACGGCCCACCAAAGCGACGAUCAGUAGCCGACCUGAGAGGGUGACCGGCCACAUUGGGACUGAGACACGGCCCAA
rnacentral:rRNA from 1 species